rnacentral:rRNA from 1 species
UACAGAGGGGGCAAGCGUUGUUCGGAAUUACUGGGCGUAAAGCGCACGUAGGCGGCUUGGUAAGUUAGAGGUGAAAGCCUGGAGCUCAACUCCAGAAUUGCCUUUAAGACUGCCGAGCUAGCAGGUGAGAGAGGUGAGUGGAAUUCCGAGUGUAGAGGUGAAAUUCGUAGAUAUUCGGAAGAACACCAGUGGCGAAGGCGGCUCACUGGCUCAUACUGGACGCUGAGGUGCGAAAGCGUGGGGAGCAAACAGG